GAAAUGCGAUAAGUAGUGUGAAUUGCAGAAUUCAGUGAAUCAUCGAAUCUUUGAACGCACAUUGCGCCCCUCGGUAUUCCGUGGGGCAUGCCUGUUCGAGCGUCAUCUACACCCUCAAGCUCUGCUUGGUGUUGGGCGUCUGUCCCGCCUCCGCGCGCGGACUCGCCCCAAAUGCAUUGGCAGCGGUUCCUUGCCCCCCUCUUUGCGCAGUACAUUGCCAUUCGAGGCGGCGGCGGCCCGCGUCCAACAAGCUCAACCCCCCCGUCUUUGACCUCGGAUCAGGUAGGGAUACCCGCUGAACUUAAGC
rnacentral:misc_RNA from 1 species